ensembl:miRNA
CCUUCAGUCUAGGACUCAUUUUUCCCUUAAAUGAGUCCUAGACUGAAGGGA